GAUGAACGCUGGCGGCGUGCCUAAUACAUGCAAGUCGAGCGAACGGACGAGAAGCUUGCUUUUCUGAUGUUAGCGGCGGACGGGUGAGUAACACGUGGAUAACCUACCUAUAAGACUGGGAUAACUUCGGGAAACCGGAGCUAAUACCGGAUAAUAUUUUGAGCCGCAUGGUUCAAAAGUGAAAGACGGUCUUGCUGUCACUUAUAGAUGGAUCCGCGCUGCAUUAGCUAGUUGGUAAGGUAACGGCUUACCAAGGCAACGAUGCAUAGCCGACCUGAGAGGGUGAUCGGCCACACUGGAACUGAAACACGGUCCAGACUCCUACGAGAGGCAGCAGUAGGGAAUCUUCCGCAAUGGGCGAAAGCCUGACGGAGCAACGCCGCGUGAGUGAUGAAGGUCUUCGGAUCGUAAAACUCUGUUAUUAGGGAAGAACAUAUGUGUAAGUAACUGUGCACAUCUUGACGGUACCUAAUCAGAAAGCCACGGCUAACUACGUG
rnacentral:rRNA from 1 species